UUCUUCCUGUUUAAACAGUUUUUCCAUCUACAAAUCCUGCUUGAACAUUGAAGAAGAUUCAAAUCUUCAUAAAAGAUCAAAAAGUAUUUGGAACUUGAACCACUUGCGCGAGGGAAACGUUGGAUACUUAAACCCUGUUCCUUGGAUGAUAUGGAAUCAGUAAAAGACAGCUUUGGCUUCCUGAUAAAUUUACUAGAAGACAGAGAUCUGGAGCCUUCAAGGAUGUGAAGAAAACAAGGAUGGUUCUCAGAUAACACUGUACCUGUUUGUCUCACUUUCAGCUGAAUUAUGGUUUGGUAUACAGAAGGAUGUGUUAGAGCUUGCAAUAAAUAUAUUUUUGCAUUAAUCCCAGAAAGUCUGUUUAUAAAUUCUGUGAAUCGGAUUUAUGAUUAUUUUCAGUAAUGUUGCCUGUACUACUGAAUGGGGAAUUCCUCUUGUUUACCAACAAACCUGUUCACUGUAUUCUAGUUUCCUGCAUUGUCAUAGCCAUAAUGCAGAAUUUUGCUGUACCUGAAAAAUUUAAAUCCAGCUGUAAAUGGAGACACAAAGUUUUAUGGAAAUUAUAGUCACUAAGAACCAGAGUACAUUUUAAAACCAAGGAAUGCAUUUUGAUGCAAAGAACAGCAGACUUUUUAAAGAAUGCACUCCACCACUUUUUAACAAUUACAAUUUUUUUUUUCAAUAAUGCAAACCAUUCAUUUAGCAGGAAGCGUGGCAAAAACAAUGAAAAUAUCAGUAUUUUAUUAGGAUUUGGAAGCCUCAAAUGCAAAUUGCCUUUGUAAAUUUAAAUUAAGCUGAUAAUUGUAUAAAAUGAUGAUGAAAUGGAGGCUACCUUGUAGUUAAAAAAAAAUAUGAAACAAGAACAAUAAGCAAGUUCAAAUAAUCACUGGAUGUAUUAUUCUUCAAGACUAGUGUUAAGCUAGAAUUCCUAGCCCUUGGAAUUAUUAAAAAAAUUCAGUGUCUCUGAAUUACAUUCAAAAGUCUACUGUCUGUAUUUUUUAAAUACCCCUAUUUUCAGGGGCCUAGAUUUCUUCUAAAUUUUAUUCAAGACUGAAUAUUGUAAAAAAAGCUUUUCAUCCUGAGAAUAGGAUUAUUUUUUGUUGUUCAUUAUACAUAACAACACUCCAUUGAGUUCCAAGAAUGUAUCCAUCUUCCAAUUUUGCUUAUUUUGGAAGAAUGCUUCAAAAUUUAAAACUGCCUUGUUCAUAAUACAGCACUGAAUAGCUCUUAACUUGGAUUUGUAUGUUAGAUGUCAGAAUCGCUGAUUAAGGCUAGAGUGGAACAGGUCUAGAGGAUACAGCAACAUUUGGUUUUGCUUCCUCAUUUUUGGCUUGCUUUUUCUUUAAUUUUAAAACCAGUUGCAGAAAGAAAUCACUUGCAAAGAAUGCCAUUUUUUAAAAAUAAUUUAUACCUGUAUGUUAUUGGGAAGUAAAAAUUAUGAAAUAUAUCAUGUGAUUUAUUCUGUGAAUCUUCUUUUUAAAAGCAUUGAUCACCAAAAUCAUUGGAUAUAGGGGAAACAGUCAGUUUUACUUUUGAUUAUUCCUGAUGCCACAUGUAUAUAAUUAUAUGUAUAUAAUAGUAGUGGUGGGAUUACAAAAUGUAGAAAUUAAGGUAGACCAAAACUUAAGAAUUGUAAUGCUAAUGGAUUUUUUGACAUCACCACUUUUUCCAUUCUGCAAUGCCAUUUCUAUAGUGAUAGGCAUUCUGAAUUAUACAAAUAAAGUAAUGCUUGUUUGGAGGGCAUGUGGCAGUAUGCAGAUUAAAUAAAUACGCCCUUUCAAUUCGUAUCCUAUAACUCUCUAGAUCCACCAUAAGAAACCAAGAUCAGUUUAUAUGAACUAUGAUUAUUUUCAUUGACUCAAAUGGCUCUUCAUUUAUAUUGGCAAAAAAAACCUGUUUAUAUAAAUAUGGUUAAAAAUACUUAAAUAGGUAACAAUGGAGUCAACUCUAUAAUAGUAAUUGGACCCUGUUUGUGACUUUAAAAGAAUGCCAAGCACCGGGUAAGAGUCAAACAAAACAAUUCUGCCACCUCUAGUCAUGAAUUUACCCAUGAUCUAGUUAAAAAUUGACAGAAGAAAGUUAUUUAGGAACAAAAAAUAAAUCUUUAACCCCUUUGUAAUAUCUGUUGUAGACUAGAAUUCUGUUCCUAUCUAUAAUUAGGAGUGAGCAAUGCAUUCAGUGGGGUUUUCUUGUGAUUAACAUGUAUACGGUCCAGCUGCAGAACCUUUAUGAAAAUAAAUUUACAGAAAAGUUACAUUUCUCUAAGAAUUUCCAUCAGAAAUGUUUGAUUUCUGUUCCACUUGAUAAAAGAAGAUACCUUAAAUCUGCUAGAUGACUUCAGAUCAGUCCUUUCAUUUUUAAUGUUUGGUGGAUUCCAUUUUGGAGUUGCAGUUAAUACCAUCUGUAACAUUUUGGUAUUCUUAAACACCUCACAUUUCUUUAAAAAAGAUUUUUAAAAAAUGGCCUACCUAUAGUGCUCUUCAGUGUAUAUCAAUCAGUGAGCAGUUUUUACCCUGCUCUCUUUUUUCCCCCUUGAUCUGGGCCUCCAUUAUAAAUGAAUUAAAUUCCCCUUCCAUAUCCUGGCCUGUGUUGCCCAUAAAAAUUAACCAAUACUGAACAUUCCCGCUUUAUUUUAACUGAGAAAGUUGUGAUGCUGCACUCUUACCGACAUCUGUUAAAUUACUUUCUGGGCGCGCUUGUGAGUGUGUAGAUGCCCGCGUUCGGCUUUUUCUCAGACCUAUGGCUGUCUGCAGCACUUGGUCAGUAAGAAUAAAAACAUGAUCAAUCAAUAUCCCACUGCAGCUGUUUGGACAGGUUUUUGCCAGGGUUCUAAUGCUUUACAACUGUCAGUGGCUCCUUUUGUCUGCUCAGAGUGUUGCUUCAUGUUUAUAUCAUGCGCGCAUAUCCCCCAAAGUGCUUACAUUUUUAAACUUCUAAUGUGUUCAGUGUUUUUGCCUGCCCCAUAUAAUGUGCCUGUGCCACAUGUCUCCAAUUACAUAUUCAAAUACUGUAACCCGACGUAUGUGUUGUAUUAUUGUGCUUCUUGCAUUUCGUUAUUUAUAGAGGUUAACGGAUUUUUGUACUUAACUAGCUAACCGAGUUGCCCUUUUUUUUUGUAAUGGCAAGUAAUUUAUAUUAUAAAGAUUUGUAUCUCACUGUACUUAAAAACAAUGAUUGAUAGCUAACUCUCCAUAUAUCCCUGACUUUAUACUAAAAUGCAGCAUUGUUAACAAAUUUCAGGCAGACAACUGCAAUGCAGGAAGAACUGUUUUGUGAUUUAUAUAGUUUACACUAACCACAAUGACAAUAAAUGCUGUGCAGAACAUUUAAGUAUGUUAUGUUUUAAAUCAGUAUUAAUAUUCAAGAAUGUGUUUUAAUUUCUUUGACGUUGUCACUUUAGUCUGUCUCUCACAUAAAGCCCAUGGAUAUCCACAAAUAUUUUGAAAACACCCAGCCAUUCAAUGAAAUACAGAAUACAGAAGCAAACUUCAGCAGAUUUCAUACAACAAUUACCUCCAUUAGAAUAAUCUAGACAAUCAAAUCAAUGCGAUGAUUAACACUAGCAAGAAAAGGAAAUCCUCUACCUUGGUCUUUCCCAAUCCAGUGAGCUCCAGAUGUCCACCUCAUCCAUUAUCCGUAACCACAGAAAAAUGUUUAUACUGGAAUACAGCAGCCAAUAAAUCUUGCAGAAUGAUAGAAUCUCAAGCAGAAAUUGUCUUUGAGUAAAGAUCCUGCAAAAUUCACAUGGAUUGUCAAUGUACAUGUUUGAUUGUUUAUUUUUCCCCAAAUGAUUUCUUCUAUGGAAAAUAAAUAGCUAAUAGAACAUG